AUUGAACGCUGGCGGCAGGCCUAACACAUGCAAGUCGAGCGGUAACACAGGGAGCUUGCUCCUGGGUGACGAGCGGCGGACGGGUGAGUAAUGUCUGGGAAACUGCCUGAUGGAGGGGGAUAACUACUGGAAACGGUAGCUAAUACCGCAUAACGUCGCAAGACCAAAGAGGGGGACCUUCGGGCCUCUUGCCAUCAGAUGUGCCCAGAUGGGAUUAGCUAGUAGGUGGGGUAACGGCUCACCUAGGCAACGAUCCCUAGCUGGUCUGAGAGGAUGACCAGCCAAACUGGAACUGAGACACGGUCCAGACUCCUACGGGAGGCAGCAGUGGGGAAUAUUGCACAAUGGGCGCAAGCCUGAUGCAGCCAUGCCGCGUGUAUGAAGAAGGCCUUCGGGUUGUAAAGUACUUACAGCGGGGAGGAAGGUGUUGAGGUUAAUAACCUCAGCAAUUGACGUUACCCGCAGAAGAAGCACCGGCUAACUCCGUGCCAGCCGCCGCUGUAA
rnacentral:rRNA from 1 species